ensembl:lncRNA
CGUCACGGCCGGGCGCGGGGGGCCGCGGCCAUCGGCGGCGCCCGGCCCCGGGGCGGUCGCGGGAGCCGGGGAAGAAAUGCGAAGAGCGACGAAAAAAGUCUCGAGAGCCCGAGCGCGGGCGGCUUUUUCCCCCGGCCGCCGCCUCCUUUUUGACCCAGUGGACCCUGGAGCCCAUUCCCAUCCUGCACAGCAAGAGCAGCCCAUUGCUGGCCCAGGUGAGAACUCAGACACCUUCAUUCAUUUUCUUCUCGGUGGCAGAUGCCUGAAAGACCUUUGCCUAAUGUGGCAAGGAAGCCCCAAGGUGGGAAGAGCCAUCUGGCUGUAGCUGAGGCCGUUCUCCAUGUGUUCUUGCCUCCAAAUGUCCUAACAUUCCUACUUUGGUGCAAUAUUGUGGUGCAAGAGGGCAACGUGUCAUUUGGUUGCUUGCUGAGGCCAUGCUCACCUUCAAGCCCCACACUUCAGGUAUCUUGAAGCUGAGGGAGCAGGCAUGGAAAGGGUUCCCAGCAGGAUUUCACAUGGUAGAAACCCAGUGUUACUAGUCUCACACUUAGCCCUCACAACCAAUUGCACUAGUGUGUGCUCCUUGCUGUGACUGAUCCUGGCAAAUGGGCCUCUCACCUUCCUAAUCCAGGUAGUUCCCAGAGAGCUGCCAUUCCAAAGCCAGACUUCAUGCCUCAAACUCACAGCUCAUAGAGAAAAUGCCCUGUAUAAAUUGUCAGCUCUGAAGCCAAACCCUUCCCCACUUAGCUUGCACAGUAAAUCAAGCUUUGCUGCUACUUUCCAUCCAGCUCCAUUACACAAGUAGUCUGAUUUGGCUUUAUGGCAGAAAAGCAUUUCAGCUAAAAUGGGAUUUUUCACAGAGUGGGGGAUAAACAUGACUAUUUUAUUUGUAAAGUGAAAGGCUAUGAGAUUGUAACAGGGAGUGCAGGUGCAGUUUCAAAUCCCUGCCUGGCUGUCUCAGUACCUGGGCUUGGUGCCUGAUUUCUCUCAUGCUCAGAUCUACAGCAGCACCACAACAAAUCAGAACCUUCCAUGAAAGCUUUCACUCCUCAUGUUUAAAAUGUCAUUUCCAUUAAUGCCUGUGAAAUUUUGCCCUGCGUCUUUUGGAAGUGAAAAUAGCCAGCCCCCAGAACUACUGUACCAUCCUUGUUCCCCACAAAUGUUAAUUCAUCAUUAAAAUUAUUAAACAGUAAAUGGCUGAGAUGUGUUAUUACAAGCUUGAAGUAUUUCCUUGGAUUGUUUAAAAAUCUCUGUUUUAAUUUGAGUCAUCUAUUUUUUUUCCUUUUACAGUUUUGAGUGCUCUAUCUUACCAUAUGUGAAACAUUUCUUAAAGGUGUCAAAGUGACUUGUCAUGGGUUUGGAAUGAGAACUAAAUUAAAUGUCCAUACUGUAACAUACUUAUAUAAAUAAUGAGAUAUUCCAGUAUAAACCAUUCAUUUGGCAGGCAUUUCUACAUCAGCAAGUACUAAGUGCUAUAGAAUUCCUGCCUAAAUUUGACACAUGCAGAGAAAAUCAGGAAGGAAAAUGUGUGUCUGUGUGUGUGUAUGUGUUUAGAGUUUUAUAGAAAAAGACAGCCCCUUGUAGUCCGUUGCCAUGAAAGUAUUUCUAACAUUUUUGGAAAUAGUGCAAGGAGUUUAACAAAAUAUUCUGGAUUCACAGCAUAAUGCUGGAGCAUUCAUCUGUCUCCCACUGAAAUCCAAAACUUGUUUCCAUAAUUUAGAAACAGAAAUGGAUAAAAAAGGCAUUAAUGAACACAAGAAUGAUUUAUUAUGGAUGUUAUUGCAUCACUGCUUUUAAGAAAAAAUACAUUGAAUAAGAAUUCUACAUAAAAUAAAAAAUGCUUCCUAUUGAACAUUGCUCAGAGUUUGCUUAUUAAUAUAUUAUAUCACUGCAUUGCCAGGUCUGGCAUUUCUCAUCCAAAUAAUCUUUCAAAGUGCCAGCAAGGCUUGUGGGCUGCAGAGCAAACCAUGUUAGGAAUAAUGCAUGUACAGAAACACAACAGCAGCGAAGUUAGUUUUGCUGGGAUUCUGGAAAUAACACUGGAGAGCCUUUUUUCUUGCAUCAGCUUCACAAACUUUCAUGGCACCAGGCGAACAAUAAUCAAAAAUGUAUAAUAGAUAUUUAGUUCUAAGUUGUCUUUCAAACUGCCCAGCUGCCUUAAGCAGUGUUUUGAAUAAAAGUCUUUCUCACUCAAAGGUCCAUGCACCAUGCACAGCACGCAUGGUAAAGAAACCUUGUACUCUAGGUGAAUUUUAUCUUCAGACAAAUGGCAUCACCUACCUGUUCUGAUGGUGUCUGGUUUGAUGGCAGCAGAUCCUGCCCCUGCUGAAGAGCGAGUCCCAGACCCCAAGUCUGACAGAGAUGGGCAGUCUGGCCCAAAGCAAUCACAGAACUUGCUCACAUUUAAAGACUCACUUCAGGUUUAAGUCGAGAUGUGCUGGUUGAGACAUGGAUUUUUUGCAGGCACCAGGUGUAGCAUAGUCUGUAUAUUUGUCUGUGAUUCAUGGACAAAUCUGUCUUUAUAUUUGCCCAUGAUUCAUCUCCAAAAACUGUAUCGUCUUGGAUGACCUCUGAAAUCUCUCUGGAUUAAGAAAUAAAUAAGUUACCCAUUCCACUAUUUGUCUAUGCCUUAGUGACUUAAAAGAUUGAAAUAGUUUCUCGCUUGGAAUCAAAGUUCAUAACUACAGCAAUUAACUCGUAGCUUUUCAUAGAUUGCUUCAUGUAAAUGCAGAAGUGUUUCUAAGUAGUUUACAGAUGUAUUUCAGUUAUCUUCAAAACAUGGUUAAUUACAUGAAUUCAGAAGCUUCCAGAAAAUAAUUUGAUCGAGUGUUAAUCUCAGUUGAAUCAUGUUAAACAAGAUCAUUUUUGUCUUUAUUGCAACUGAUAGCUGAAGUUUAUGGUCAAGAAGAACAAACCUUCCACUGCAGUCUUCAAAGUUGUGUCCCCAGCCUGUAAUGAAGAAAAAAUCUAUCUGUGGUGGAAUUUGGGGAGCACAAGGGUCCUAGCAAGGGUAGUGGUGUGCCUAAGACAGCCACCCAUGGUCUGGGUUGCGCCUAUAGCAUACAGGAACUCGUGAUGGCACCAGGCACCCCAGGUGACUCCAGAGGAGAUAAACAAUUGGUUAAGUUUGACUCAUGAGGUGCAUUGGGGUAGGAACUAUUAACUUCUUUCAUGCUCUUGGUGCCCUCAACACACUCUUGCAAUAACAUUGCGGGACUUUUUUUCUAUAUAUCUACUAGGGGUAAUUUAAUGACAGUUCAUUGCUCACUUGUCCUUGGGUUGUACGGAUUUCUUUAACUAAACACCUAUUUUUGUAAAGAUUUUUGACCUAUAUAAAGCAACAAAGUUUCUAUGAGCUUUUUGCUUAAAAUCCUCUCUGACAAGAAUCUCACUAAAUAUUUGCUGAUCUCAACUAUGUUCCUAUGGCUUAAAAACCUGUAUCAAUAACUCAAGGGUACAAAUGUGUCAAGUGGUUGCAAUUAUCUUCUAAACAAACAUUGGAAAAGAAAAAAGGCACAAGCUAAGCCAUAGAAAAACAUGGUUAAUGCACUCCAAUUUACCUUGUCCAAUAGUGACUCCAUCACAUAAUGAUGUAUUUAUGAUGAGUGCAUAGCAGAGUCUGAAACCUUAUUUUUUUUAAAAACUGAAAACUGCUUAGCUUUCUUUUUUUUUUCUUUUUUUUUUCCCCCUCCUAAUGGUGU